rfam:Methanohalobium evestigatum Z-7303, complete genome.
GUCAAUAGCCCACCGCUAAAGCGGUGAGCUUGCCCCUGCGGUAAGCUUUGAUUGACCAGACUGAGUUCCCAUGAGGAACUACGUUAUCCCGACUAUGAUACCCUCGGAUGCUUCCUUAGUCCGUUGCUCUAUCGCAUCGCAUUAAACAGUCCUGAGAGGUAGGGACAGUGUGCAUGCAUGACAAACCGGGAUAACAUUGUCGAAGGGAGACGGUC